rnacentral:rRNA from 1 species
GACGAACGCUGGCGGCGUGCUUAACACAUGCAAGUCGAGCGGAGCGGCGAACGGGUGAGUAACGCGUGAGUAACUGCCCCCCUCUCUGGGAUAACAGUUGGAAACGGCUGCUAAUACCGGAUAGUGGGGGAUGACUCGCGUCCAAUCAGCUUGUUGGUGGGGUAGUGGCCUACCAAGGCGACGACGGAUAGCCGGCCUGAGAGGGCGACCGGCCACAAGGGGCUGGGAUACGGCCCAAAGUACUACUGGAGACAGCGGUGGUGAAUAGUGCACAGUGGGGAAAACCCUGGUGAAGCAACGCCGCGGGCGGGAUAACGGCCUUCGGGUUGGAAACCGCUUUCAGCCAAGACGCGGUAGUGGCAGAAGAAGCACCGGCUAACUACGUGCCAGCAGCCGCGGUAAUAC